GUCGCGCUCGCCCGGGACCUCGCACACGGUCCCGCGCCUAAUUAAAUUAAUUAGGGCGCAGCGCGCGGCGGGCGGGCGGUGCCGUGGCCGCAGUGCCCCGCGGCGGGCGGGCGACCGGCAAGGACGGGAGGAAGGAAGGGAGGAAGGAAGGGGUCCAUUCAGAGCUCCGAGGGGAGAGCCCUUGGUGUGUUCCCAGCAGGACCUGAUGCAGAUUCCGCGGGGCUGAAGGAGCAGUUUCCACAUUUUGUUGUCUCUCUGCAGCAGCACGAGUGAGGAGGAGAGCACGACCCACCAGUCACCACUGAUGAGAACUCCAGAUGGAGCUCACACACGGGGGUGGGGUUACCCCUGUAGGAGCAGCUCAGGCAAGAGAGAAUGCUUGGGAAAUAAGGAUUGUCCGUGUGUUAUAGAAUCAUGGAAUCAUGGAAGAGCUUGGGUUGGAAGGGACCUUAAAGUUCAU